AGAGUUUGAUCAUGGCUCAGAUUGAACGCUGGCGGCAGGCCUAACACAUGCAAGUCGAACGGUAACAGAAAGCAGCUUGCUGCUUUGCUGACGAGUGGCGGACGGGUGAGUAAUGUCUGGGAAACUGCCUGAUGGAGGGGGAUAACUACUGGAAACGGUAGCUAAUACCGCAUAACGUCGCAAGACCAAAGAGGGGGACCUUAGGGCCUCUUGCCAUCGGAUGUGCCCAGAUGGGAUUAGCUAGUAGGUGGGGUAACGGCUCACCUAGGCGACGAUCCCUAGCUGGUCUGAGAGGAUGACCAGCCACACUGGAACUGAGACACGGUCCAGACUCCUACGGGAGGCAGCAGUGGGGAAUAUUGCACAAUGGGCGCAAGCCUGAUGCAGCCAUGCCGCGUGUAUGAAGAAGGCCUUCGGGUUGUAAAGUACUUUCAGCGGGGAGGAAGGGAGUAAAGUUAAUACCUUUGCUCAUUGACGUUACCCGCAGAAGAAGCACCGGCUAACUCCGUGCCAGCAGCCGCGGUAAUACGGAGGGUGCAAGCGUUAAUCGGAAUUACUGGGCGUAAAGCGCACGCAGGCGGUUUGUUAAGUCAGAUGUGAAAUCCCCGGGCUCAACCUGGGAACUGCAUCUGAUACUGGCAAGCUUGAGUCUCGUAGAGGGGGGUAGAAUUCCAGGUGUAGCGGUGAAAUGCGUAGAGAUCUGGAGGAAUACCGGUGGCGAAGGCGGCCCCCUGGACGAAGACUGACGCUCAGGUGCGAAAGCGUGGGGAGCAAACAGGAUUAGAUACCCUGGUAGUCCACGCCGUAAACGAUGUCGACUUGGAGGUUGUGCCCUUGAGGCGUGGCUUCCGGAGCUAACGCGUUAAGUCGACCGCCUGGGGAGUACGGCCGCAAGGUUAAAACUCAAAUGAAUUGACGGGGGCCCGCACAAGCGGUGGAGCAUGUGGUUUAAUUCGAUGCAACGCGAAGAACCUUACCUGGUCUUGACAUCCACGGAAGUUUUCAGAGAUGAGAAUGUGCCUUCGGGAACCGUGAGACAGGUGCUGCAUGGCUGUCGUCAGCUCGUGUUGUGAAAUGUUGGGUUAAGUCCCGCAACGAGCGCAACCCUUAUCCUUUGUUGCCAGCGGUCCGGCCGGGAACUCAAAGGAGACUGCCAGUGAUAAACUGGAGGAAGGUGGGGAUGACGUCAAGUCAUCAUGGCCCUUACGACCAGGGCUACACACGUGCUACAAUGGCGCAUACAAAGAGAAGCGACCUCGCGAGAGCAAGCGGACCUCAUAAAGUGCGUCGUAGUCCGGAUUGGAGUCUGCAACUCGACUCCAUGAAGUCGGAAUCGCUAGUAAUCGUGGAUCAGAAUGCCACGGUGAAUACGUUCCCGGGCCUUGUACACACCGCCCGUCACACCAUGGGAGUGGGUUGCAAAAGAAGUAGGUAGCUUAACCUUCGGGAGAGCGCUUACCACUUUGUGAUUCAUGACUGGGGUGAAGUCGUAACAAGGUAACCGUAGGGGAACCUGCGGUUGGAUCACCU
rnacentral:rRNA from 2 species